rnacentral:sRNA from 1 species
GCUGGGCACGAUGGCACAUGCCUGUAAUCCCAGUUGUUUGGGGAGCUGAGGCAGGAGGAUCGUGAGUUCAAAGCCAGCCUCAGCAAUUGAGUGAGGCCUUAAGCAACUCAGUGAGACCCUGACUCUA